ncrna:unclassified sequences S15-Methanomicrobia ribosomal protein leader
AGCACGAAAAUGUGCUGGCAUAUGUAAGUCCGACGUGCCGUACCGGCACGGCCUUGCUUGAAAUGGCUUGGGGAUUAC